rnacentral:rRNA from 1 species
GAUGAACGCUGGCGGCGUGCCUAAUACAUGCCAGUCGAGCGAACAGAUGAGACGGUUGCUCGUCUCACGUUAGCGGCGGACGGGUGAGUAACACGUGGAUAACCUGCCUAUAUGACUGGGAUAACUUCGGGACACCGGGGCUAAUACGGGAAAAUAUAUUGAUACUCAUUGUUCCAUGGUGAAAGACGGUUUUGCUGUCACUUAUAGAUGGAUGCGGGCCGCAUUAGCUAGUUGGUAAGGUAACGGCUUACCAAGGCAACGAUGCGUAGCCGACCUGAGAGGGGGAUCGGCCACACUGGAACUGAGACACGGCCCAGACUCCUACGGGAGGCAGCAGUAGGGAAUCUUCCGCAAUGGGCGAAAGCCUGACGGAGCAACGCCGCGUGAGUGAUGAAGGUCUUCGGAUCGUAAACCUCUGUUAUUAGGGAAGAACAAAUGUGUAAGUAACUAUGCACGUCUUGACGGUACCUAAUCAGAAAGCCACGGCUAACUACGUG